CCGAGUUCCGGGUCCUCUGGGCCCGAUCUCCCAACCCUAUGUUUAACAUACCUUGUGUUGCUUCGGUAGGCCGGGAUACUCGUCCUGCCGGAGGGCCGUUAAACGCCCCCCGGAGAGUGCCUACCGAUAGCCUCAACCUCAAAUUCUUUAACUAAACAUGUUAUUGUCUAAGUCAAACUUUGCAAUUAAAACA
rnacentral:misc_RNA from 1 species